CACUAACCAGACGCUGUCAGCUAUCAGUUUUCCGCAUUAUUUUUUUCCGUGCACGCAUAACUGACAGCAUCGGUGUUUUGUUUUUGUUUUUUUAUGGUCAUAAGUUUUGUUGUUGAAAUUUUUUUCACAGUUAGAUCGUUGUCCACCAGACCAUUUGAAUGUUCCGAGCAAUUUAAAUGUUCCGCCAAGUGUGAUUCGUGUUAUUAGUUCCUGGCUGUAGUGUGCGAACUGAUGAAAACCACUCAUCCGGACCAGAAGGGUGUAAAAACGCCAGACGCAGCGCUUCGCAUAAUCACCGAAAAGCGAGAUUGUUGUGAAACCCAAACCACCGGCCGCAGUGAUUACGUCGGCUCUCGCAAAACUUUCGCUUUUCUGUAAGCUUUCUUUGUGUGGAAAAGUCCUGGAAUGCGCUGCACACCGAUAUCAAGAUCCUUUGGCUGAUUACCAUUUUGAUGGGAUGUACUGUUUUGCCCGAGGCUUACGACAUCAGCAUUGGCUAACUUAGCGGAAGCUGUCAUAUUGUACGGUGUUGAAUGAAUCAAUUCCGUUUUGAAGCUUCCAGGAAGCGCAUCCAAAUUACUACGAGAGAGUAAUGUUGACCGUAGAAUUCCAGUCAAUGGAAGAGGAACUUCUGCAUUUUCGAUUGUGUUGAAUGUCGUGAAGAACGACACGGAAUCAAGCUGCGGUGGCGUAGUACAUCUAGGAUGAAAUUUUACCGAACUUUUCAAAAAACAUGAAAUCACCGGAUGGCGCUCGCAAUUAUGAGCAGUUGGAUGGACACGACGUUUCGAAUUUCCGACAAG